rnacentral:rRNA from 1 species
GAACGAAAGGGGAUCAGCCCAAAGCCGAAUCCCGCGUCCCUUGGGCGUCGGGAAAUGUGGCGUAUGGGAGACGCUCUUUCUGAGUGCGCGAGGCGGUCCAAGUCCCCAUGAACGGGGCUCGACCCAGAGCGGGUGCUAGGCCCGUGUGGCCGCCUCGUCGCGCCCGGAGCUUGCGUUCUCCCGGGAGUCGGGUUGCUUGAGAGUGCAGCCCAAAGUGGGUGGUAAACUCCACCUAAGGCUAAAUAUGACCGAGAGUCCGAUAGCAAACAAGUACCCGUGAGGGAAAGUUGAAAAGAACUUUGAAGAGAGAGUUCAAUAGUACGUGAAACCGUUCAGAGGUAAACGGGUGGGACCUCGAAGUCUGAAGGCGAGAGGAUUCAGUACGGCCGCAACCGACGACCGCCUCGUCCCCCGUGGGCCCCCGUGCUUUUGCGCGGUGUGUCUGCGGGGGCUCGAGGCGCGGCCUUACGCAUUUUCUCUCGCUGUGAAGGCGUCGCGACCGGUUGGGUGAACCGUCGGAAGGGCGAACUUGGGGAAGGUGGCCGACCGAGCAAUCGGCACGGUGUUACAGACCCGAGCUCGUAUGGCCGACGGUCCCCGACCGUGGACUAGAGUUUAACCUCGCGAGACGCUCCCUUCUCCUUCGGGAGGAGCGUCCCCUUGGGUCGCGCUGUCGCGUUUUGUGGCCAGGCACACUUGUGUGCCUGGUUUUCAAGCGCGCUUCUCGGCCUUUGGGGGCGUGGGGAGCCGAGGGUCAGCGACGAGUAGGUCGGUAUCCCACCCGACCCGUCUUGAAACACGGACCAAGGAGUCUAACGCGUGUGCGAGUCCCCGGGUGUUGACCAGCCCCGCGGGCGCAAUGAAAGUGAAGGCGAGCUUCGGCUCGCCUGGUUGGGAUCCCCCGUCCUCGGGCGGGGGCGCACCAACGGCCCGUCCCUUCCGCAUGUCGGUGGGGCGGAGCGAGAGCAUACGCUCUGGGACCCGAAAGAUGGUGAACUAUGCCUGGGCAGGACGAAGCCAGAGGAAACUCUGGUGGAGGUCCGCAGCGAUUCUGACGUGCAAAUCGAUCGU